rnacentral:rRNA from 1 species
CCCAGAGAUAGGGUNUCCCUUGUGAAUCGGGUGNACAGNUGGUGCAUGGCUGUCGUCAGCUCGUGUCGUNAGAUGUUGGGUUAAGUGCCGCAACGAGCGCANCCCUUGUCCUGUGUUGCCAGCACGUAAUGGUGGGGACUCGCAGGAGACUGGCGGGGUCAACUCGGAGGAAGGUGGGGACGGACGUCAAGUCAUCAUGCCCCUUAUGUCCAGGGCUUCACACAUGCUACAAUGGCCGGUACAGAGGGCUGCGAUACCGCGAGGUGGAGCGAAUCCCUUAAAGCCGGUCUCAGUUCGGAUCGGGGUCUGCAACUCGACCCCGUGAAGUCGGAGUCGCUAGUAAUCGCAGAUCAGCAACGAUGCGGUGAAUACGUUCCCGGGCCUUGUACACACCGCCCGUCACGUCAUGAAAGUCGGUAACAUCCCGAAGCCGGUGGCCUAACCCCUCGUGGGAGGGAGCCGUACGAAGGUGGGUGCGGCGAU